GAACAGGGAAGCCGCAUCCCAAUGUUUGACCGUCCGUCUUAUUUGAAAAAGUUAUGAAAAAAAUUAAAAAGAUAAGUCACGCAUAAAGUAUUAAUUAUGUUUUAUCAUCUAACAACAAUAAAAAUACUAAUUAUAAAAAAUUUCAUAUAAGACGGACAGUCAAACGUUGGCAUGAAAACCCAGAGUUUGCCUUUUU
rnacentral:pre_miRNA from 1 species